rnacentral:rRNA from 1 species
ACUCAAAGGAAUAGACGGGAAGGCGCACAACCAGUGGAGCAUGUGGUUUAAUUCGAAACAAAACGAAGAACCUUACCCAGUCUUGACAUACUACCGUUUAUUUUUCUGGAAACAGAGAGAAAUCCUUUAGAAAUAUUGGAUGGUAGAACAGGUGCUGCAUGGCCGUCGUCAGCUCGUGUCGUGAGGUGUUCCCUUCAGUGGGGUAACGAGCGCAACCCCUGCCCUGAGUUAAAUAUUCUCAGGGGACUUCCCUCAUUUAUUGCGGGAGGAAGCGGGGACGAUGUCAGGUCAGCAUGGCCCUUAUGACUGGGGCAACACACAUACUACAAUGGAGCCAACAAUGAGUUGCCAACGCGUAAGCGGGAGCUAAUCUCAUCAAAUGGCUUCUCAGUUGGGAUUGAGGGCUGCAACUCGCCCUCAUGAACAUGGAAUUGGUAGUAAUCGCGGGUCAGCUAUACCGCGGUGAAUACGUUCUCGCCUUUUGUACACACCGCCCGU